rnacentral:lncRNA from 11 species
CAGAAAAGCAGGGCAAGCACUGAGCCUUAUUUUUGGGACUGAAAGAGAAAAGAAAGGCAGGUGUUUUGGACUUCAGCUCCCAGAAUUCCUGAUUACCGGACAAGCUGGCUAGGGCUUCUAACAAUUAAAGGCCCAAACACCUGGUUUAUGCCCAUCUUUCUCUUGGGAUGGAAUACAAAAACCGAAGACAAACACCUGUUUCAACUUGUG